GACGAACGCUGGCGGCGUGCUUAACACAUGCAAGUCGAACGGAAAGGCCCUGCUUUUGUGGGGUGCUCGAGUGGCGAACGGGUGAGUAACACGUGAGUAACCUGCCCUUGACUUUGGGAUAACUUCAGGAAACUGGGGCUAAUACCGGAUAGGAGCUCCUGCUGCAUGGUGGGGGUUGGAAAGUUUCGGCGGUUGGGGAUGGACUCGCGGCUUAUCAGCUUGUUGGUGGGGUAGUGGCUUACCAAGGCUUUGACGGGUAGCCGGCCUGAGAGGGUGACCGGCCACAUUGGGACUGAGAGACGGCCCAGACUCCUACGGGAGGCAGCAGUGGGGAAUAUUGCACAAUGGGCGGAAGCCUGAUGCAGCAACGCCGCGUGCGGGAUGACGGCCUUCGGGUUGUAAAACGCUUUCGCCUGUGACGAAGCGUGAGUGACGGUAAUGGGUAAAGAAGCACCGGCUAACUACGUG
rnacentral:rRNA from 1 species